GAGGCCAGGAGGCAGUGCCAAGCAGAUGAUGCAGAGCUGGCUAGCAUCCUGAGCCCCGU
ensembl:miRNA